UGGCCAUGUCCCUCCUUCAGCUAGAAUGAGAGCUCAGGACUUCCAGCUGGGAUGGAGACUUCUCCACUUCAGACACUGAAUGAGAUGAAUCCCAUCCAAUCUGCCUCCUCAAGGCACCAAACCUGAGUUUUUAAUACUAUGAAGACUAAAGUCAGUGUAAGGGAUGGAUGGGAGAGGGCCAGGAGCAUCAUUACUGCCACAAUGGUAUAAGGAGAUCAGAAAAUGCAGUAGUCAAACUGCUGGAGGAUGACUGCAAGCAAGAAGGAGGAGAGGGAAAAGAGGGUGGACAGCUGGGAAGGAGGUGCUGCUUUGGCUGCAGAAUGGAUGCAGGAUGCUCUGAUCUGCACAGCAUCAUGUGGGAGUCAGGAGCUCCUGCUUGCUCUGACAGUUCCCUGUUAGGCCAUGGAUGUG
rnacentral:lncRNA from 14 species